UCUUUAAAAAAAUUCUUAAAAAUUAGAACAAUACACAGAAGAUUAGCAAGGAUGUGCAAGGAUGGUACGUAAAUUUGUCAAGUAUUCCAUAUUUUU
rnacentral:snRNA from 1 species